GGAAGAAAGAUAGUAUGUACAUACGAGUGCAUAUGUACAUUUACACCACUACGUAUGCAACAGUGUGUUAUGUUGCAUGGUGUAAAAGUGGUCUAUGUAUAAUUGAGUUUUUAUGAAGAAGCCUACUAAAGAAAUUCAUAGUAGUGGAUAGUACGAAUAUUUCUUUGUUUUGCAAAAUUUCACAGAAUCAAGUGCUAGAUUAACAUAAAUUUGAUUUACUGACAAUGGACCUCCUUCAAUCAAGAGAAAUAGACACCGUUCUGGACUCUGUGUACAAAGUUAACAUUGUUUCGCUACCAGUGCUAACUCAGCUACUUUCAUCCGAAUCUGCGGAACCUGGUUGCACUCGAGCAAAAAAGUACGCUGUGCUUGAUCAGGAAAACGGGAAGGAAAUUUUCAAUGGUUUUGAUAUUUCUGGAAAUAGAAAUGAUCCCAACAUGCGAGGAUUCACCUUGACCUUCCCCUCACCAAGUGAAAAGAGUGUGCUUCACUGUGGAUACCGUUGAUAAAAAAUUUCACAGACGAUGGAGUUUUCAUCUCCAACUGGCCCAGUGGGCGUGUUUAACAGAGAUGGACUUGGGCUGGGAUUGCUUGGAUUUUUGUGUCCUUUUCUUUGCCUCUGCUGCUGUUUCCCAGUAGCUACAGCAUCCAUCAAGGACGCCCGAACUGGGGACCAACUUUUGAAAGGGGGUGCAUAUCUUUUACCGAGAAAAAUUGACAUGUCAAGACCAUCAAAUUUGGGUGGAAGAAAAAUAGGGGUCAUACACUUAGGAGGAAUUUUAAUGAACCAGACAAUAACCUUGUCAUUUGAGCAAUUUGCAAAUCCUAGCGAAAAACUUUUACUGAUUGGACUUGGAGCUGGAAUGAUGGAUUAUGAACAAUUUCAUCUGGCACAUCAACAAUCAUCCCGAUAUUAAUACAAGUACAAGCAACUUUGGAUCUUUUUUGUCAUGCAAUUUUCAUAUUAGUGUGUUUGAUAAUUCAUGCAAUUUUGUGUGCCUAGUACAUAUGUACAUACAUAUGUACAUACUACAUUCUGUACAUACAGCGGUGUUAAAGAUAAAAAUUGCUUAAAAUGGGAAAUGAUGGAUUUAUCUCACUAAUUUUAAAUAAAAGUACCUAAAAAAUUA